rnacentral:misc_RNA from 1 species
GAUGAAGAACGUAGCGAAAUGCGAUAAGUAAUGUGAAUUGCAGAAUUCAGUGAAUCAUCGAAUCUUUGAACGCACCUUGCACCCUUUGGACUGCUCCAAAGGGUAUGCUCGUUUGAGUGUCAUUGUACUCUCACACUCUCUGAUCCUUUGGAUUUGGGGAGCAGUGGACUUGGGUGCUUGCUGCUUCCUUGUGGCUCACCUGAAAUGCAUCAGUGCAUCUCUCGAUUGGACAUAGUACGGCGUGAUAAGUGUCUUCGCCGGCACCUCAUAUGAGGGUGGCCGAUCGGGAGCUCUGUGCUUUCAAACCGUCUUCGGACAACGCUGACAACUUGACCUCAAAUCGAGUAGGACUACCCGCUGAACUUAAGCAUAUCAAAAGGGAGGA